rnacentral:rRNA from 1 species
UCCUUGGAACAGGACGUCAUAGAGGGUGAGAAUCCCGUAUGUGACUGGACAGGCACCCUUUGUAAAGCUCCUUCGACGAGUCGAGUUGUUUGGGAAUGCAGCUCUAAAUGGGAGGUAAAUUUCUUCUAAAGCUAAAUACCGGCCAGAGACCGAUAGCGCACAAGUAGAGUGAUCGAAAGAUGAAAAGCACUUUGGAAAGAGAGUUAAAAAGCACGUGAAAUUGUUGAAAGGGAAGGGCUUGCAAUUAGACUUGCCCGCAGUUGUUCAGCUGGUCUUCUGACCGGUUUAUUCUUCUGCGGGCAGGCCAGCAUCAGUUUCGGCGGCCGGAUAAAGGCUCUGGGAAUGUGGCUGUCCUUCGGGGCAGUGUUAUAGCCCAGGGUGUAAUACGGCCAGCCGGGACUGAGGUCCGCGCUUCGGCUAGGAUGCUGGCGUAAUGAUUGUAAGCCGCCCGUCUUGAAACACGGAC